CCCUAAUAAUAGAUUUUUCUCAAUACAUAAAAUUCCGCCAGAGCAANUACUAUUCAUACAUUNGAAGCUCAGGGGUUUNGGUGGUUUCUCAACCCCAACUAGAGGANCCUGUUCUAUAUUCGAUACUCCACGAUCUACCUCACCACCCAUANCCCAUNCAGUAUAUAUNCCUCCUUCUCCAGCCUUCUCUUUGGGNGGAUAAUAAGUAAGGACCACAGCCANCACACUCACAAGUGAGCUCAAGGUGUNCCCCNUGGGGUGGNAGAAGUGGGCNACAUUUUCUCCCAUAGAAAUACACUUUAACGGAAGGGACCUUGAAACAAGACCCAACAAGCAGGAUUUAGCAGCAAUGUGAGAACAGAGAGCCCACAUUAAUCAGGAUCUGAGAU
rnacentral:rRNA from 1 species